CCUGGUCACCCUAUCAUCUUCUGUGAGCCCCUGAAGAACAAAGACCACAGUAAGUGAUCAGUGUUGUAUCCCCAGUACCUGUCAUGAUGCCUGGAGCAUGAAGGCAUUCAGUAAAGAUUCUUUUCCAUUAUAGGUUAUUAUAAGAUAUUGAGUAUAAUUUCCUGUGCUGUACACCAUGUGGCUGACAGGGUCCUGGUGUUCUGGCCAAGUGUCAGGUCUGAGCCUCUUAGGUGAGACAGUGGAGUUCAGGACAUUGGUCCACCAGAGAACUCCCAGCCCCACAUAAUAUCAAUCAGCAAGAGCUUUCCCAGAGAUCUCUGUCUUAAUGCUAAGACCCAGCUCCACUCAACGACCAGCAAGCUACAGUGAUGGACACCCUAUGUCAGACAACUAGCAAGACAGGAACACAACCCCACUCAUUAGAAGAGAGGCUGCCUAAAAUCAUAAUAAGUUCACAAACACCCCAAAACACACCACCAGAUGUGGCCCUGCCCACCAGGAAGACAAGAUCCAGCCUCAUCCACAAGAACACAGGCACCAGUCCCCUCCACCAGGAAGCCUACACAACCCACUGAACCAACCUUACCCACUGGGGGCAGACACCAAAAACAAGGGGAACUACAAACCUGCAGCCUGCAAAAAGGAGACCCCAAACACAGUAGGUUAAGCAAAAUGAGAAGACAGAGAAAUACACAACAGAUUAAGAAGCAAAGUAAAAACCCACCAGACCAAACAAAUGAAGAGGAAAUAGGCAGUCUACCUGAAAAAGAAUUCAGAGCAAUGAUAGUAAAGAUGAUCCAAAAUCUUGGAAAUAGAAUGGAGAAAAUAC